rnacentral:miRNA from 1 species
GUGCAGUGGCCAGCAGCUGC